UCGGGAGUUUUGGGCAAUGGGGGAAACCCUGACCCAGCAACGCCGCGGGAGGGAUGAAGGCCUUCGGGUCGUAAACCUCGGUCGGGAGGGAAGAAAGGCGCACGGACGAACAAUCCGUGUACUUGACGGUACCUCCAAAGGAAGCACCGGCUAACUCCGUGCCAGCAGCCGCGGUAAUACGGAGGGUGCAAGCGUUGUUCGGAAUCACUGGGCGUAAAGCGCGUGUAGGCGGCUUGGCAAGUCGGUUGUGAAAUCCCGGGGCCCAACCCCGGAACUGCAACCGAAACUGCCUAGCUCGAGUCCCGGAGAGGGUGGCGGAAUUUCCGGUGUAGAGGUGAAAUUCGUAGAUAUCGGAAGGAACACCAGUGGCGAAGGCGGCCACCUGGACGGUGACUGACGCUGAGACGCGAAAGCGUGGGGAGCAAACAGGAUUAGAUACCCCCGUAGUCC
rnacentral:rRNA from 1 species